UCUAAUCUAGCCCUAUCUCUAGGGUGUAAUUUUAUAUGCCUAGUCCAACUACCCGUGCCGCUACGGUAUCCAGUAUACCUAUGAAACAAGGGUGAUCACUAUCAAGCAUUAUGGGAGGCGGAUUAGGACGUCUAGAUUGCCUACUACUUUCAACUUGCUUAUCUUUUUUAGGUCGGGGAGCCGGGGGAAGGGUAGUAUUAUGGCCAUUACUUUCACCGGUUUUACCUUUUCCUUUACCGAACAUUUUUUUUCAAAGAAAAUGUCUUACUAAUUAGAAUUAUGUAAACUAAAAAACACAAAAAUAUAUUAUUAGCAUUUAAGAGUUGAAACGAGUUUACCGGAUUGCCGAACAACUUCUUGAAAAUUGAAAAUCGUUGAACUUGAAUACUUAAAAACUUCAAUUCAACAACUUCACAAAUUUUCACGAUUUUUCAAUAAUAAAUUAAUCACUUGUACUAAAGAUUGAAAGAGAACUUGAGAGGAUUGAGAGAUAUUGAUGAAUUGGUGAAUAAAAAUGAAAGAAUGAGGGGGUAUUUAUAUUUGAAAAAUGGGAAAAGUGUAAUUAUAUAAAGUUUGGGUUAAAUUAAAGUUUGG
rnacentral:lncRNA from 1 species